UACAGAGGGGGCAAGCGUUAUUCGGAAUUACUGGGCGUAAAGGGCGCGUAGGCGGCCUGUUAAGUCGAACGUGAAAUCCCCGGGCUCAACCCGGGAACUGCGUCCGAUACUGGCAGGCUUGAAUCCGGGAGAGGGAUGUGGAAUUCCAGGUGUAGCGGUGAAAUGCGUAGAUAUCUGGAGGAACACCGGUGGCGAAGGCGGCAUCCUGGACCGGUAUUGACGCUGAUGCGCGAAAGCGUGGGGAGCGAUCCGG
rnacentral:rRNA from 1 species